UGCAUAUUCUACUCAAUGAAAGCAAAGUUAGCCCUUUCUAUAUGUAAGUGCCCAAAUCUUUUAUUAAACAGUUAAUUACACUUGUUCUACUAACAAAUCCCAUAGCUUAUAAACUCUAGUCCUACUUUCAUCAAGGUUUUGGAAAGAAACUUGUCCUGGAGAAAGUGAUGACCGAUUUCCCCCUUGGUUUGCAUCAUAUGUUCAAAAUCAAUGUAAUAAAAUUGUUGAUCCUGGUUUGCAAUCACUUUCUUGGGGUCCUUCAAACAAAGCAACAAGUUAUCCAAUUUAUAAAGUGAAUGGAUAUACAUUUCAUACCCUUGCAAGGUCAAAAGGAAAAAAAAUCGAUAACACCGGUGUGUUUGUUAAAGAUGAUAUAGGCAGCGGGGAAAGUGAUUGGUUUGGAGUAUUAGAAGAUAUACUCGAGCUUGAAUACACUGGUAGUGACUCUAAUCGAGUUGUUUUGUUCAAAUGUCAAUGGUAUGAUCCAAGUCGUCCAAAUGGAACACGUAUUCAUAAUGACUACAAAAUAACUGAAGUCAACCAUAGUAAAAGAUAUCGCCACUAUGAUCCUUUCAUUGUCGCCCAAAAAGCUAAACAAGUUUACUUCUUACCUUAUCCUGGAAAUUGCAAGUCUAUAUGGCGUGUUGUU